AGUGGGAGAGUUAGAGAACUUGAAAGCCAAUUACAGAUUCAAGCACAAAGGGGAGGGGCAUUAGAAGAAAAAAUGGAAGCAUUUAUCAGGUUUUCUCAGCAGAAUGUGGAGGAUAGGAAUUCAAAUGCUUUUACUCAGUCACACCAAGGAAGUGAUGUCCAAGGAAGUA